GCACAUGUUUUUACAUUUUCAAAGUAACGUUUUUGUAAGCUUUCUCAAAUUGUUAUGCUUAUAAAUAGUAAAUGCAUAUUCUGUAUUUAAUUUUAAAAUAAUAAGAAUACGUAUUUAAAAUAAACGUAAAAUAAACGCUUUUUAAUUGUGAUGGCGGGCUUUUGGACCCCACAAAUAAAUAUGCCAUGAUCCCUUUCCCUGUUUUACAGAACACAUAUAUUGUUCACCAAUGUAGCCGAUGCAUUUUGAAAUCGCUGCGUGCAUUAAGCGGGUAAUUAUAGAAGCACUCAUGGAUGUUGAUGAUGCCCACACACACACCACAGACCCCCCCUUUGACCACCCAGAGUCUCGCGAGAGCGACUGAGCGAGAUCUCGCAGGCCUGUUGUGUAUGACUAGAGCGAGAGAGAGAGAGAGAGAGACGCUUCGUGGGGGUUUUCGCUUGAUGUCACCGCGUUUACACCACCGUUUCUCAUGCUUCUGCGGCGUCUUCCAGUCCUCUCUUUCCACAAACACCCGUUUAACGACCGCUCGCGGUAACUUACACUGGCGGGGUUUUGAGGGCGAUGCGGCGGCGCUCGUGCAGAUGCGCGUACAGCUGAGGAGAAAGAUGGACCGUCCCACCGUCGAUGAAAACGGCCCUCUACGGCUCUGAGUCGCUGUCUCAACGCAUUCGCGGUUCAGUUCCCGCGGUCGAGAGCUUCUUCGCGAUGGAUAUGUGCACGCCGAGCGGCAGCAGGCCCUCCGGAGGAGAAACAAACCGCGAGGAUCUGUAGCCUGCUAAGUCAGCUAGUAACAGAAGAGCCCCGCAGUCAGUCACUACAUGAGGAGGAUGAGGAUGAGCAUCAUCCCUGAGCUCUUGUCAGGAGGAAGAUCAGGCACACAACCUGAUCUUUAAGUGGUUAGUCUUGUUCUCGAAGGCUGCUGGACUCGUAGCCGUAUCAUAUCGCGCUGUAUCAUGCAGUCAGACUCGAGCAGGGACCGUCCUGUUUACUGACUGCUGCUGAUAGCUCCAGAGAGACUAGGUCGCUUCUUCACUCCUAUAUCAGAGUCCAGGGCACCUGAGAUGGAUAAACUCACCAUUAUUUCAGGAUGUCUCUUUCUGGCUGCGGAUAUAUUUGCCAUAGCGAGCAUCGUCAACCCAGACUGGAUCAACACUGGCGAGUCAGCAGGUGAGAUACGAGAUGACUCUCUAUCAUAGUGUCUUCAGAUCAUCUGAGAACAGCGAAGCGAAGCUGUGUGCAUCUCUAAACAGGCUUUCAUGGCCAACAGA
rnacentral:lncRNA from 1 species